AGAGUUUGAUCCUGGCUCAGGAUGAACGCUAGCUACAGGCUUAACACAUGCAAGUCGAGGGGCAGCAUGAUCGAAGCUUGCUUUGAUUGAUGGCGACCGGCGCACGGGUGAGUAACGCGUAUCCAACCUUCCCUAUAGUAGAGAAUAGCCCGGCGAAAGUCGGAUUAAUGCUCUAUGUUGUAUUUAGAAGACAUCUGAAGAAUACCAAAGGUUUACCGCUAUAGGAUGGGGAUGCGUCUGAUUAGGUAGUAGGCGGGGUAACGGCCCACCUAGCCGACGAUCAGUAGGGGUUCUGAGAGGAAGGUCCCCCACAUUGGAACUGAGACACGGUCCAAACUCCUACGGGAGGCAGCAGUGAGGAAUAUUGGUCAAUGGACGAAAGUCUGAACCAGCCAAGUAGCGUGCAGGAUGACGGCCCUAUGGGUUGUAAACUGCUUUUAUAUAGGGAUAAAGUCGGGGACGUGUCCCCGUUUGUAGGUACUAUAUGAAUAAGGACCGGCUAAUUCCGUGCCAGCAGCCGCGGUAAUACGGAAGGUCCAGGCGUUAUCCGGAUUUAUUGGGUUUAAAGGGAGCGCAGGCUGAUGAUUAAGCGUGACGUGAAAUGUAGCCGCUCAACGGCUGAACUGCGUCGCGAACUGGUUAUCUUGAGUGAGUUCGAUGUUGGCGGAAUUCGUGGUGUAGCGGUGAAAUGCUUAGAUAUCACGAAGAACUCCGAUUGCGAAGGCAGCCAACAAGGCCUUUACUGACGCUAAAGCUCGAAGGUGCGGGUAUCGAACAGGAUUAGAUACCCUGGUAGUCCGCACGGUAAACGAUGGAUGCCCGCUGUUUGCGAUAUACUGUGAGCGGCCAAGAGAAAUCGUUAAGCAUCCCACCUGGGGAGUACGCCGGCAACGGUGAAACUCAAAGGAAUUGACGGGGGCCCGCACAAGCGGAGGAACAUGUGGUUUAAUUCGAUGAUACGCGAGGAACCUUACCCGGGCUUGAACUGCCAGCGAACGAUUCAGAGAUGAUGAGGUCUUCGGGACGCUGGUGGAGGUGCUGCAUGGUUGUCGUCAGCUCGUGCC
rnacentral:rRNA from 1 species